rnacentral:rRNA from 1 species
AGCCGAGCGGUAUAAGGUCUUCGGAUCUUAGAGAGCGGCGCACGGGUGCGGAACACGUGUGCAACCUACCUUUAUCAGGGGGAUAGCCUUUCGAAAGGAAGAUUAAUACCCCAUAAUAUAUUGAAUGGCAUCAUUUAAUAUUGAAAACUCCGGUGGAUAGAGAUGGGCACGCGCAAGAUUAGAUAGUUGGUGAGGUAACGGCUCACCAAGUCAAUGAUCUUUAGGGGGCCUGAGAGGGUGAUCCCCCACACUGGUACUGAGACACGGACCAGACUCCUACGGGAGGCAGCAGUGAGGAAUAUUGGACAAUGGGUGAGAGCCUGAUCCAGCCAUCCCGCGUGAAGGACGACGGCCCUAUGGGUUGUAAACUUCUUUUGUAUAGGGAUAAACCUUUCCACGUGUGGAAAGCUGAAGGUACUAUACGAAUAAGCACCGGCUAACUCCGUGCCAGCAGCCGCGGUAAUACGGAGGGUGCAAGCGUUAUCCGGAUUUAUUGGGUUUAAAGGGUCCGUAGGCGGACUCGUAAGUCAGUGGUGAAAUCUCAUAGCUUAACUAUGAAACUGCCAUUGAUACUGCGGGUCUUGAGUAAGGUAGAGGUAGCUGGAAUAAGUAGUGUAGCGGUGAAAUGCAUAGAUAUUACUUAGAACACCAAUUGCGAAGGCAGGUUACCAUGUCUUAACUGACGCUGAUGGACGAA